GAUGAACGCUGGCGGCGUGCCUAAUACAUGCAAGUAGAACGCUGAAGGAGGAGCUUGCUCUUCUGGAUGAGUUGCGAACGGGUGAGUAACGCGUAGGUAACCUGCCUGGUAGCGGGGGAUAACUAUUGGAAACGAUAGCUAAUACCGCAUGACAACAGUUAUUGCAUGAUAACUGUUUAAAAGGGGCAACUGCUCCACUACCAGAUGGACCUGCGUUGUAUUAGCUAGUUGGUGAGGUAACGGCUCACCAAGGCGACGAUACAUAGCCGACCUGAGAGGGUGAUCGGCCACACUGGGACUGAGACACGGCCCAGACUCCUACGGGAGGCAGCAGUAGGGAAUCUUCGGCAAUAGACGGAAGUCUGACCGAGCAACGCCGCGUGAGUGAAGAAGGUUUUCGGAUCGUAAAGCUCUGUUGUAAGAGAAGAACGAGUGUUAGAGUGGAAAGUUCACACUGUGACGGUAUCUUACCAGAAAGGGACGGCUAACUACGUG
rnacentral:rRNA from 1 species